AGUGAACGCUGGCGGUAGGCCUAACACAUGCAAGUCGAACGGCAGCACAGUAAGAGCUUGCUCUUACGGGUGGCGAGUGGCGGACGGGUGAGGAAUACAUCGGAAUCUACUUUUUCGUGGGGGAUAACGUAGGGAAACUUACGCUAAUACCGCAUACGACCUACGGGUGAAAGCAGGGGAUCUUCGGACCUUGCGCGAUUGAAUGAGCCGAUGUCGGAUUAGCUAGUUGGCGGGGUAAAGGCCCACCAAGGCGACGAUCCGUAGCUGGACUGAGAGGAUGAUCGGCCACACUGGAACUGAGACACGGUCCAGACUCCUACGGGAGGCAGCAGUGGGGAAUAUUGGACAAUGGGCGCAAGCCUGAUCCAGCCAUACCGCGUGAGUGAAGAAGGCCUUCGGGUUGUAAAGCCCUUUUGUUGGGAAAGAAAAGCAGCAGGUUAAUACCCCGCUGUUCUGACGGUACCCAAAGAAUAAGCACCGGCUAACUUCGUG
rnacentral:rRNA from 1 species